CAAGGGUAUUACUGUUUGGGGAUCAGUUGUUAGUUGACAGGUAGAGAGAUUAUUAGCAGAGCAGCAAUAUGUAGUUGUUUGUUUUACUAGGUGGAUAUCAGUUGGCUGAUGUGAUAGGUGCCCAACUAGUUCUUCUAUUGGAUGGCAUGCCAGAGGAAUUCCUACUGCAACUUCUUCAUGGCCCAGAUUGUUGGUUUUUCUUCCCAGUAUCGAAGUUGAUGUGCUGUGUAUUUAAAAUAGUGGGGCAUCUUAACAAUAAAAUCCAGACCUGAGCUCUCAGAAGUAUCCUUCUCCAUCAAUUUAUGUGCAACCUCAGAAAACUAUAGCCUCAUCACCUUGCUUUCUUGUUUGUUUUUAUCCAAUUUCUAUCCUUGUUGUUUACUUGUGGUCACUUUUUGAUAGCACUUAAGGAGAAAAAGCAAAUGUUGGAGCAAAGAUUGUUGUUUUGAUACAUGUGUUUUACUGAUAUGUUAUUGUGUUCUUUAGACAUGACUUUUAAUAAAACAUUUUUUUUAAGUUUUUACUUAACGAUAUCGUAAAGAUACUUUACGAUAACUUUUUAAGUUAUCCCUGAUUUGAAGUGUUUAACGUAAGUUAAAUUAUUCAAGCAAAAUCAAUGGAUCAUAAGUUUUCCUGUGAGCUGUAAUCAUUUUAUGCUCAUGCUUGCGUACUGCAUAAAAUGUUUCUCACAUUUGUCCUGGUACGUGUCAUUUAUGUCAUGCAGGCUUGUAGUUGAGGCAUAUAUUUGUAGCUUCAGUUAAAACUUUGUGUUUCUGUGUAAAUGUCUCUGCUAAGUAUGCUAAUUUACCUCUGCUCCUAUUAUGAAAUUCUCCUUGGUAUUUUACAGAAUGUCUUAAUUUUUUAAAAAAGAAAAUACUUUUGUGUAUAUCCCAGUUAUUCUAUUUAAUUUUGCAAAUUACUUACUUGACAAACUCUACCUUUGAUCUAACUUGCUUGAAUUGUAUGGUAUGGUAUGGUAUGUAGAGAAGUAACUGUUAUAGGGGCUUCCAGCACAUGCUCAACAUGCUGAGAACAGAAAUCAGUACAGUCCCCAGUGUUUUGUUCUCUCAAAUUGCUGUUGUGAAGAACGUUAUUUUAUCAAAUCUGAUGGGUAUGUGUCAUGAGGAUGAGGACGAUAAUUAGAAAACAGUAGCAAGUUCACUCCAAAAGUAAUGCAUUCUGUUUAUUGCCUUGGGGAAAAAAAAAAAAAAAAAAUGAAAAAAAAAAAAUGAAAAAAAAAAAUACAAGAGCACAAGAA